rnacentral:ribozyme from 1 species
GGGCUCAAGGCGUCGUGCGCAUUUGAC